GAAAGAACAAAUAAGUACGGGGCAACCACGAUCUUUAUAAAGAACAUAAGUUCCAGGAAAGCAGGAACCUUGUCACUCUUGUUCACUGGGUGUAUCCUCUGCAUAUAGAACAGUGCCUGGCACAUAAUAGGUGCUGAGUGUACUAUUUAGACUUCCUAGGAGAGAUGGCCAGGUACAGUGGAGUUACCAGCUACUUGCACACCCAAGCCUGCGGAUCAAGAGAAGCCUCACAGAGACACCCCCAACUGAGGAAACUCACAGAGCUUAAGUGGAGCUGGGACUCCAGCUGGGGCACCUGCCUCACUAUGACAUAUUCUAUUUUCUUUGGACAAAAAAAAAAAAAAAAAUACUGACUAAAGCAGAGUCACCCCUGGGAAGCCUGGGAAAGAUCUCACUUGUUCAAAAGUUCAAUUCUGAAUUACUGCCUUACAGAUAAACCAAAGCAUUUUGAAAAGUAAAGGGGAGAAAGGAAAUUAUUCCUCAGCACUCUCAGGUAUCUAGAAGAUGCCUAAGAAGUUGGGAGUCAGCUGUUUCUUGUGUGCAGCCAUGAAGUCUGUGCACUCUGUUCCCCAGAACACAGUUUGUAGCAUCAUGACUUUUUACCCAACCAUGGAAGAAUUUACAGAUUUCAACAAAUAUGUUGCUCACAUGGAGUCCCAAGGCGCACACCAAGCUGGCCUCGCCAAGGUAAUUCCACCCAAGGAAUGGAAAGCCAGAAAGACUUACGAUGGUAUUGAAGACAUCUUGGUCGCCACUCCCCUCCAGCAGGUGACCUCUGGGCAGGGAGGUGUGUUUACUCAAUACCAUAAAAAGAAGAAAGCCAUGACAGUCGGGAAUUAUCGCCAUUUGGCAAACAGUAAGAAAUAUCAGACUCCACCACACCGGAAUUUCGACGAUCUGGAGCAACAAUACUGGAAGAGCCACCCCGGUGAUUCACCAAUUUAUGGUGCUGAUAUUAGUGGCUCCUUAUUUGAAGAAAACACUACACAGUGGAACCUAGGACACCUGGGAACAAUUCUGGACCUGUUGGAGCAGGAAUGUGGGGUGGUCAUCGAGGGCAUCAACACCCCCUACCUGUACUUUGGCAUGUGGAAGACCACAUUUGCUUGGCACACGGAGGACAUGGACCUUUACAGCAUCAACUACCUGCACUUUGGGGAGCCCAAAACGUGGUACGCAGUGCCCCCAGAACAUGGCCAGCGCCUGGAAUGCCUGGCCAGCGAGCUUUUCCCAACAAUUUCCCAGGGCUGUGAGGCCUUCCUGCGGCACAAGGUGGCCCUCAUCUCUCCUACAGUUCUCAAAGAGAACGAGAUUCCCUUCAAUUGCAUGACUCAGGAGGCUGGGAGUUCAUUGUGACCUUUCCCUAUUGCUAUCAUGCGGGCUUCAACCAUGGCUUCAACUGUGCAGAGGCCAUCAAUUUUGCCACUCCACGAUGGAUUGAUUAUGGCAAAGUGGCUUCACAGUGUAGCUGUGGGGAGGCGAGGGUGACCUUUUCCAUGGACGCCUUCAUGCGCAUCUUGCAACCAGAGAGCUAUGGGCUCUGAAAAUGCAGGUAAGUUUCAGCCCUUGUGGAUCACAUGGAGGCCAAGGUUGCAGAAAGCCAGGAGGAGAGCACCUGGAGGGAGGACAUAGCACUUAGGAGAGCUGCUCUGGGCCUGAGGCAUCUCCUGAACCACAUGCCAGCUGUUCCACACAGACUGUGCCCACAGGGCUCUGUUAUAACCCAAAGGGCCUUGGCACUGAUGCUGUGCCUGAAUUUACAAUACAAACCAUGGGGACGUCAGCCUAGGUUCUUCACCCUUCCACUGUAAGGUGGGAUCCUUUUUGUGGCUGUGGUCCUGGUUGAGGUCGUGGUCGUGGUCAGGGUCAUGCUUGCCAUCCUCAAAAACUGGGGACUGAGGAGACAACUAUUCAGUCUGCAGCCAAGAGACACCUCUCAUUGGGACAGGGAGUGGAGCUCGAGGCCUCAAGCCUCAGCUCCAGUUCACCAAUGACACUUUGAAGGACAAACCUGCACCUUUGAGCAGUGGCCUUCAGCACCCAUGGUGAACCUGGCCAAGGUUGCAACAAUGGACCACUCUUAUGCCUCUAGGGUUCUGGUCUCAACUAAGUUUUCCAGAACCUUCUGUUUCUCAGACUCAUCUGCUGGGGCUUAAGCCAGACCGAGAUAUGCCACUGAAUUUGGAGACAUUUUCCUCCAAAGCAUGAUCAGUCCUCUGAACCCAUGGCUAUUGAAUAUGGUGCCAAAUGUCAAGGGAUACCUUCCUCUUAUCCCAACCCCAGGAACCAGAGAAAAUUCUUGCCAAGGAGAAUUCUGGCCUGGGCCUCUCCCCAAUGAAGAUUCUUUCCUUCUAAUAACUGACACAUUUCAAGACCCCCAGAGCCCUACUGUGACAGCCAGGGCUCCCAGCGGCCACUGAAGUCCCCUCCCCAAAGGUUGCCAUAGGUUUUUGUAGUACCUCUCAAGGACCCUCUGUCUACUCCUAAUCAUUGUGCCUGUGACCUUCACCAUGGCCCAGAUGCCAUGAACAGCACUUGUUGCUGAUGUCCCCUCAGGAUACCUCCCUUACUGUGCUGUGGGUCCAGAUCCCAUGCACAUGCGCAAACUAGACCUUUAGACCAACUGAGUCUAUUAGCCAGUCGUGGCCUCAGAGAUAUUUUUAAUGUUGUUGAUGUUCAUUAAAUUUUCUAUCUCUAGUGUAUAUCUGUAAAGAACAUUUUUACUACAUGUUCUUAAAAUUAGAAUUAUAUAAAAGAGAUAUAUCAAAAAGAAAGUGAUGUGGAAAAAUGAGAUAAAGGAAUGAGCAAAAUAAUAGCAAGCAAAGAAUUAACAUAAAAGUAGAGUCACAGACUUUAAUAUCAGGCAAACCUGGAUUGAGACCAAAGGUAUAUAGCGUGUAUCUUUACAAUGCAAAAGAUGAAAUUUCACAAUGAAAUUAUAACAGUCAUAAAUAUUCAAGUAAGUUUAACAAAGUAUAAAUUAUAGUAGAUAAAAGACAAGUUUAAAGAAACAGAUUAAAAAUAGGAACAUUUAAGUCACCAAUAUGAUUUGGUUAUGUGUUCUUGCUUAAAUCUCAUGUGGAAUUUUAAUCCCUAAUGUUGGAGGUGGGGCCUGGUGGGAGAUCACUGAAUCACAGGGGUGGUUUCUUAAGAAUGGUUUAGCACUAUUCCCAUAGUGCUGUUGUUGUGAGAGAGUUCUCAGAAGAUCUGGUUGUUUAAAAGUGUGUGGCACCUGCACCCUCUCUGAAAUUCUCCUGCUCCAGCCAGGUAAGACGUGCCUGCUUCUCCUUUGCCUCUUGCCAUGAUUGUAAGUGUCCUGAGGCCUCCCCUGAAGCAGAAACUCGUAUGCUUUCUGUACAGCCUGCAGAACCAUGAGCCAAUUAAACCUAUUUUGUUUUAAAUUAUCCAAUCUCAGGUAUUUAUUUAUGUGAGCAAUGUGAGGAUGGACUAUUACAGUCACCUUACUCAUCCAAUCCAAGGAGAAAAGAAAUGGAGAAAUCUAAGAAGGAUAUGGAAAACUCAAACUACAUUAACAAUAAGGUAGAAUUGGUAUUCCAGAAGAUAGAAAAUACUCCCUCUCAGCUGGGCGCAGUGGCUCACUCCUGUAAUCCCAGCACUUUGGGAGAUGAAGGUGGGCAGAUCACAAGGUCAGGAGUUCGAGACCAGCCUGGCCAAUAUGGUGAAACCGCAUCUCUACUAAAAAUAGAAAAGUUAGCUGAACAUGGUGGUAUGCACCUAUAGUUCCAGCUACUGAGGAGGCUGAGCAGAAGAAUCGCUUGAACUGGAGAGGCAGAGGUUGCAGUGAACCGAGAUCACACCACUGCACUCUAGCCUGGGCCACAGAGUGAGACUCCAUCUGAAAAAAAAAAAAAAAUACAAAAAACUCCCUCUCUUCAGGUGCCAAAGAAUGAAUCACAAAAUAUGACCAUAUAUUAGGGUGAGUAGAAAAUAUCAAUAUUUUCUUUAAAAAUAAGUUAAAAAUUAAGCAUUCUGAAUUAUCAUGCAUUCAGACUAGAAAUAUUUUUACAGCCAAAAAAAUGUGCGGGUCUUUUUCUUUGCAGGUUAAACACUUUUUUAUUGAAUGAACCUCAGAUCUCAGUGAAACACAAUCCAAAAAAGCCAAAUUUCCACAAAACAAUAAAUAUCUAUUUCAUGCAUAAACGUUGGAGCAAGAAAGCCUGAUUUUGAUUUCCUGUUUCUUUUACCAGCUUGUAUGACCUUGAAAAUUCAUUAACUUUAUGAUAUGUUUCCUCAAUGUAAAAUGGAGGUAUCAUCUACCUCAUGUGUUUAGUUGACAGUUCUAUUUAGUUAAUAUGUGCAAUUUGUUAAUAACAAUGCUUGGGACACAAUAAGGAUUACAGGAGUGUUCUUAGGUUUAAAAUUUAAUAAAAUACAUAAAGGAAUAUAUGAGAUUCAUUUACAGUAGUGCUGAGGACAAUUUGCAGCUUUAAGUAUUUUCUCCAUCACAUCCAAAGAAUGAAAUUAACUGCAUUAAGCUUCUGAUUGAUGUGUGAGUUAGGAAAGGAUAGUCUGAAGGUAGCAAGGAGGAAUUGAUACACAUAUACACAGAAAUUAAUGAGUUAGAAUAAAUGUAAAAUAAUAUACUAAAUCAACAAAAACUCCAAUGAUACGGAUUUUUUGAAAAAUUAACUUACUAAAUAGAAAAUUUAAGACAUAAAUUUCUGUGUAUGAGAUACAGAAAGAUCAUGGAAGAUCUACCCAUUCAAAAAUGACAAGGAUUAGACAAUUUUAUAUAUACAAAAGUAUAUAUAGGCCUUUAAAAUGAGGAAAAACUUUAAUGUUUUAAGAUAAGCACAUUUUGUUUUGUUUUGUCGUUUUUGUUUUUUGUUUUGAGACAGAGUUUCACUCUUGUUACCCAGGCUGGAGUGCAAUGGCAUGAUCUCGGCUCACCACAACCUCCGCCUUCUGGGUUCAAGCAAUUCUCCUGCCUCAGCCUCCUGAGUAGCUGGGACUACAGACACGUGCCACCAUGCCCAGCUUAUUUUUGUAUUUUUAGUAGAGACGGGGUUUCACCUUGUUGACCAGGAUGGUCUCGAUCUCUUGACUUCGUGAUCCACCCGCCUCGGCCUCCCAAAGUGCUGGGAUUAUAUGCAUAAGCCACCGCGCCUGGCCAAAAUAAGCACAUUAUUGAUAGAAAAUCCUUAUGAAUUCCAUGCAGAAUGAGAGGAAAUGACGGCCAAAACUGAUUUAUGAACAUCAAUGUAAAAACUUUAACUUAAAUAUUAGCUAAGAUAAUUUAAGUACAUUAAAAGAAUAGAAUUAUAUGAUCACAUUUAUAGUUGGUGAUAGGCCUUUGAUAAAAUUCAAGUCAGUGUUGUUUUAUAUACACCCAUAAGGAAGCAAUUAAUUCUUUCUUAAAAUAAAUACAAGACCAGGCAUGUUGGCUCAUGCCUGUAAUCCUAGCACUUUGGAAAGCUGAGACUAGCGGAUCACCUAAAUUCAGGAGUUCAAGAUAAGCCUGGCCAACAUGGCAAAACCCCAUCUCUACUAAAAAAAUACAAAACUUAGGUGGCACAUGCCUGUAAUCCCAGCUAGUUGGGAGGCUGAGGCAGAAUAGCUUGAACCUGGGAGAUGGAGGUUGCAGUGAGCCCAGAUCACGCCACUGCACUCCAGCCUGGGUGACAGAGCAAGACUUCAUCUCAAAAUAAAUAAAUAAAUAUAAAAAAUAAAUAAAACACAAAAUUUGUCUAUCUAUUAGUGAGAUACUUUAACUCCAAGCCACCAUUUUCAUGAAUGUGACAUAUUUGAUGCACUUCAGCCAAUAAUUUAUAAAAUUAGCACUAUUAACCACUGAAAAUAUUUUUAGAACUAUAAUUGGUGAAAGCAAAGGGACAAAAUUUAUUUUGUUGUGGUUACAGUUGAUAAGGCUGAAUGUGGGGAAAACUCGAGGAGGAGGCUAAACUUCUAGAUGGUUUCUUAAUGGCUACCAUGCUCGCUUCAACCAUGGCUUCAGCUUCCAGGAGGUCAGGAAUUUUGCUACCAUUGAUAGAUAAAUUCAGGCAAAGUGGUGUCUCAGUGCAGUGGCAGGCAAACCACUAUGGGCAUCCUGUAACCCAAGUGCUCUGAGCUGUAGAAACACAGGCAAGCUGGGUCAUGUGCAGACCACGUGGAGUCCAGGGUACAUGCCAGCCUGGAGAGGCCCACCUGGAUGAUCCAAGUGCACAAGAAGGCUACCUAGCUGAGACACCACCUGGAUCACCAGGGUAGUGACCCAUUUAGCCCAUGACCUCAUCCUGUGGUACCUGUUGCCUCACCCUUGUGCCCAGUGUUUCCAUGGUCCAUCUAGCCUGCAGUGAUACUUCCUAGCCCAGGACCUUAGCCUGGACCCACUGCUCACCCCAGCUCCAUCAACCCUGGUCUGAACCCCUCAACUGACAGAUAUGGUUUUGGUCAUUGCCUUCUGUAACUAGGGUCUAAAAGCUAAUAUUCCAGGCUCCAGCCAGGAGGUGCCUGUUGAUGGUCACAGUUCACAUAGCUUCAGACCCUAUGCAUCAGCCCCUGAGCCUCAGCCCCCUGCACAAAGAUGGAGCAUUGAUGGACAGGCCUGCACCUCUGAGUCCAGGAUCCAGCAUCCUGCCAAGGAUUCCAGGAGCUGCUGGGCACCCCUCCUGAGCCCAUGAUCAGCUUUUCUAUCUUGCUACUUUGCUCUGUGGUGGCUUCUUGAUAUUGCUCAAAUUUACAUCUCAGAAUUUUGAGCAAAUUUGCAGACCACCACAGUCACAGAACCUCUUGGUGCUAUAGCCUCUCUGAUGAGAGCUCUGGGCGUUGCUGAGUCCAAGGUAGUUACCGAAUUCACCAUAUAUUCUUUAUUCUCUCAGACCUUGUAAUAAUUUGACACUUCUACUUCUGUGUCACCAGCUGAGAUUUCAUCCACUGGAGAUGCGUGUCUCUGCAAAAGAGGUCUUCCUGAGUUUGUUAAGCACUCAUCUAUCCCAGUGCCCCAAUUGCUGGAACAACUAUGGAGGCUGCUGCGCUUCUGAAGAAUUCACAAUGUGAUUCCCCUUCAAUCUUCUUUCCUUACCUCACCCCACUCCAACACUCCCUUUCUAGCAAAACUAGCUUCUAAUGACCGAUUAGAUCAAUAGAGUCAGAAAAAAAGUAUCAUCUUUCUGACAGGUAUUUAAAAUGUGAUGUCACCAGUAUUUGUUCACAAAUGAAUUAAAAGUCACCAAAAUGUAAAAUCACACUUUCUUCCUAAUAUCGUAGUUUCGAACAACUUGGAAAGAAGAUUAUUCUCCAUGCAUUUUCCUCAUAAUUAGUUGAAAACAUUUAAGGCAAAGCAUAUUUUUUGGGCUCCUUACAUUUUGUGGUGAUGAGUGAGCUCAGGGCAUGGUUGUGGGCUUCUGGCUGUCUGGCCGGGUGGGAGCACUGGGUUGCAGUCAUACUUUGAGGAUGGCUUUAGGCCCAGCCUGGUGCUCAACUGAAUAGCAGGCCCAAAUUGCUGGGAAAGAUGAGUAAUCCUAGGAUAAAAGUGCCAUCAUCUGACUAUCUUCUCUCCCGGGCUCCACCGCCUUUUCAAAGUUGUGUGUAUUUCACACUGGUAACUUUCACUCAGCCCAAUAUUGUCCCCAAGCAAGUGAACAAGGCUUCAAUUAGGAAUGUAUGCUGUAUAGAAACUACAGAGGGAUUAGAUGACAGAGCAGAAUGGGCUGGCGCUGGCUGAGCAUCUGGUCUCAGAAGGAUUCACAAAGCAGGAGACCUUUUGGGGACCCAGUUACAAAAUGGGAAGGUGUGGAGCAGAAUUCUCCCCUUGCAGGGACCAGCAAGUACAACAGACCUAACACAGAACUUGGUGAGUUUGUGUUUCCAGGAAUACAAAAGAAGCUUAUUUGGGUCUGGGACAUAGAGUGGAAGGGAGAGAGACUGAGGGUAGAGCAUAGAGGGCCUUGUGUCUCAUGUCAGGUGCAUUAUGUGAUGUUCCUUCAACUUGAAAUGAAAAGGUCUUAGAGCUUAAAACAGCAGUGGAGAAGAUGUGACACAUACACUUAAAUAAUCAGCUUAGUUGUUUUGUGGAGAAUGUGUGAGUAGGAGAAGCAAUUAGAUUAUUUAUAAUACAAGUGAGAGUGACAGUUGCUUAGACUUAAUUGUUAGUAUUGCAAAUGCACAGAAAUGGAAAAAUUCAGAAUAUAUUAUUAACAUUGAAAAUGAUAGUUUUGAUGAAGAAGGAAACAUUCAGAGAAGCAAACCAUUCACCACCUUAGUACCAAUCUUCAUUAGCAUCCCCUGUCCUGUCCAGAAUUUCAGGAAAGCUGUAAAUUUUGAAGCAUGAAUAAUCAAAACUUGAUACAUGUCUAAAAUUCUCAAUAAAGCACAGAAAAACUCUUAUCUUCCUGUCUUUCCCAUUCAUUCAGGCAACUUUGCCUUUCUUAACGUAACAAGAAGUUUAUUCUUUGGAAAAUUCAAGCUCAGAGACUGAAUGCAAGGUCUCCAGGCACAGAAAAAAAUCGAGGGAGAUGCCUGGCUGAAAAGGGGUUUAAGCUAAUUCUGACAAGGUGGAACCAAAGAUGAAUGUGCACUGCAUUUACUGGAAGGGAGUAGCCCUAGAGGACUGCUGAGCCCUCAGUACAUCUUACAUGAACAAGGAAUAAACUUUUAUGUGAUAGGUAAAAGUCUCAUUGUCCCUGAACUGCAGUAGGUAGACAGCUUUCAACUGCAGAGAGCUGCCUCACCCAAGGCCAUGCCUCUUCUCAAUUUGGCCCACAUCCCAUGACUGCUCACUACUGGAGCAUAAAGCUUGGCCAUCUCUGCUCAACUUAGCACAUACCUGAAGGGACGUUUGAGCUCUAGAUCUCCCUGCAGGAUCCUCUGAAAGUAUCUUGGCCUAAUUCACAGCUCCAAUUUUCCCUGUGCUCAAACCUACUUCCUUUUCCUUUUCUCAGAUAUGGAUCCCAAGCACACUCUUAAAGCAAGAUAUCAAUACCGAAAUCUCAGAGUCUGUUCCAUAAUGAACCUGACCUAUGACUUUACUUCAGAUUUUAUUUUGUUUCAAAAUCCUAAUUUCCUUGAGAGAAUAAAGAGUGGUCACCCCUACUAAAAUUAUAGUUCUUUGCAUGGUUAUUCAGUGAUGUGAGGAGAUAGAAAUGGCCAGAUGAGAAUUUCAGCUUUUAAUUUAUAGAAUUAUUGUUGUGGCCACUGGUCAAAAGAUGUCUUUUCGAAUAUCAGAAGUCACAAGGAUAAGAAGCAAAUACCUUGACACUGGCAUGAUGGACCAAUCCGUUUUAUUCCUGGACUUAAUAGAACCAUGUACUCUGGCUCUGAGCUGAACUGUACCAUGUUCAGAGCAAAUUACUCUCACAUCAUUGCUUGUGGGAAUGUAACAUUAUAUAGCUCCUUUGAAAAACUGUUUGUCAAAGUUCUGUAAACUUGAGCACUCAUCUAUCCAUAGCUAUUUUCUUCCUAGGUAUUUACCCAAUCAAUAAAAACCAGGAACUGUGAAUAAUCCUCAUGUCUGAGCAGAUGAGUGGAAAAACUAUAGCUUAUUAAAAUAUUAUUCAGUUAUGAAAAGAAUUGAACUAGGAAAGGAAAGAUUCAAUUUAUAUUCACUCCAAAAAAAAAAAAAAAAAAAGGCCAACUUAGAUCGUGGUUGGCUCUAGUAGGGGUGGGAAUUCACUGGAAAGUUCCAGGCAUAAAAGAAUGUCAGGGCAUAUAGGAAUGUUCUGCAUCACAUUUAGAGUGAUGAUUACUCUAAAUGAGAUGCAGAAUACCAUUGUUAAAACUGGAGGAAUUGGCAGAGCAAGAUGAUAUAACAGAAGGUUCUGCAUCAGAUUUAGUCUGCCUUAUUACCAAAUAGAUAUUAAUAGGACAUUUCAACUAACAGCUGUAAAAUGCACAUUCUUUACUCAGUACAUAGAUCAUUCUCAAGAACAGACCAUAUUUUAGGUCACAAAAUACAUCACAAAAGCAUACAAAAAAAUUCGUAUAAUACCAAUGAUCUUCUCUGGCCACAGUGGAAAAAAACUAGAAAUAAGUAACAAGAGGAAUUUUGGAAAUGAUACAAACACGUGGAAAUUAACCUAUGUGCUCCUGAAUGUCUAGUGGGUUAGUGAAGAAGUUAAGAAGGAAACUGAAGAAUUUUCUGAAACAAAUUUUAAUGGAAACACCAUAUACUAAAACCUAUAGGAUACAGUAAAAGCAGUACUAACAUGGAAGUUUAGAUUUAUAAGAGCCUAAAUAAAAAACAGAAAAAACUUCAAAUGAGCAACAUAAUGAUGCAUCCUAAAGAAGUAGAAAGGCAAAAACAAACACAAUCCAAAAUUAGUAGAAAAUAAGAAAUAAAGAUCAGAGCAGAAAUUAAUGAAAUUGAAAUGAGUAAAACAAUGCAAAAGAUCGAUGAAACAAAAAAUCAUGGUUUUAAAAGUUAAACGAAAUUGACAAACCUUUAGCCAGACUAAGAAAAAAAGGCAGAAGAUCCAAAUUAAUAAAAUCAGAAAUGAAAAAGGAGGCAUUGCAACAGAUACUGCAGAAAUUCAACGUAUUAGUGACUAUUAUGAGCAACUAUAUGGCAAUACAUUUGAAAAGCUAGAAGACAUGCACAUCACUAGACACAUACAACAUACCAAGAGUGAACCAGGAAAAAACCCAAAACCCAAAAAGACCAAUAACAAAUAAUGAGGUCAAAGCUGUAAUAAAAAGUCUCCCAGUCAAGUAAGGCGGAGGACGCAAUGGCUUCAUUGCUGAAUUCCAUCAAACAUUUGAAGAACUCAUAUCAAUUCUACUCAAGCUAUUCUAAAAAGUAGAGGAAGAGGAAUUACUUCCAAACUCAUUCUAUAUGGACAGUAUUACCUUGAUAACAAAACCAGACAAAAACACAUAAAUAAAGAAAACUCCAGCCCAAUAUCUCUGAUGAAUACUGAUGCAAAAAUACCCAACAAAAUAGUAGGAAACAGAACUCAAGAAUCCAUUAGAAAGAUCAUUCAUCAUGAUCAAGUGGGAUUUAUCCCUGGGAUGCAAGGAUGUUUCAACAUGUGUAAAUCAAUCAAUGUUAUACAUCACAUCAAUAGAAUGAAGGAUAAAAACCUUUAGAUUAUCUCAACUAAUGAUGAAAAAGCAUUUUAUAAAAUUCAACAUGCCUUCAUGAUGAAAACCCUCUAAAAUCUGGGUAUAGAAGGAAAAUAAUAGUGAAAGCCAUAUGACAGACCCUAAGCUAGUAUCAUACUGAAUGGGGCAAAGCUGAAUGGCUUCCCUGUAAGAUGUGAAACAUGACAAAGAUGUCCACUUUCACUACUCUUAUGCAAUAUAGUAGUGGAAGUCCUACCUAGAGCAAGAGAAAGAAAUACAGGGCAUCCAAACUGGAGAGGAAGAAGUCAAAUUAUCCUGGUUUGCAAUGACAUAAUCUUAUACCUGAAUAAAACUAAAGACUCCACCAAAAGACUAUUGGAACUGAUUAAACAAAUUCAGUAAUGUUGCAGGAUACAAUAUUCACAUGUAAAAAUAAGUAGUAGCAUUUUCAUAUGCCAACAGUGAACAAUCUGAAAAAGAAAUCACAAAAGUAAUCUCAUUCACAAUAGCCACAAAUAAAAUUAAAUACUAGAAAUUAACCAAAGAAGUGAAAGAUUUCCAUAACAAAAACAGAAAAUACCAGUGAAAGAAAUUGAAGAGGACACACACGCACACACACACACACACACACACACACAAAGAUAUUCCAAGUUCAAGGAUUGGAAGAAAUCAUUUUGUUCAAGUGUCUAUACUAUCCCAAGAAAUCUAAAGAUUCAAUGCAAUCCCUAUCAAAAUACCCAUGAUAUUCUUCACAGAAAUAUAAAAAAAAAUUCCUUAAAUUUGUAUGGACUCACAGGAGACCCAGGAUAGCCAACCUGUCUUAAGCAAAAUGGCAAUACGGGAGGAAUCACAUUACUUGACUUCAAAUUAUACAACAGAGCUAUUGUAACCAAAAGAGCAGGUACUGGCAUAAAAAUAGAUAUAUAAACCAAUGGAACAGAAUAGAGAACCCAGAAACAAAUUCAAAUACCUACAGUGAACUCAUUUUCCACAGAGGUGCCUAGAACACCUCUGUAUUGGGGAAAAGACAGUCUCUUCAAUAAAUGGUGCUGGGAAAACUGGAUAUCCAUAUGCAGAAGAAUGAAUCUAUACUACUAUCUCUCACCAUAUUAAAAAAUCAAAUCAAAAUAGUUUAAAGACAUAAAUCUAAGACUUCAAACUAUAAAAGCACUACAAGAAAACACUGGGGAAAACUCUCUAAGACACUGGUCUAGGAAAACAUCUCUUGAGCAACAGCCCACAAACACAGGGGACCCUGUGUAAGUAAGAAAUGGACAGAAUCGGAGGGGAUUCAAGAUGUCGCUGUGAGAACAACCCAGGAUUGGAGCCCGCGUUGAAUUCGCAAACGGUGAGUCAGUGCUGCAUUUCCAGACUGAUCUUUGUUGCCCACAGAACGGGGAAACUCCCAAAUAUAAAAAGACACGGGACGCCAGGCAGUAGGUCUGCCUGGCGAAGCCGGCAGCCGGGGCGGCGGCAGCCGGCCCUACCCAGCAAUCCCCACAGGGCGCGCUUGUCCGGGUGCCUUGUUGAACCGGCAACCUGAGACUUGAGAGGGCUGGACUUGAGACUGAACGAGACUUGCACAGUAGCCCAGACCAGGGGAUUGCAGGGACAGAUCGUUUGGGAUACCCAGUGGGACGAACAAAACCGCGAUUUCAAACUAUCCCGGGCAGACGGUCCGAGACGCUCUGUGGGGGAGGGGCGUCCACCACUACGGAGGCAACCUGCCCCAACUGAUAUACACGCCCACUGCUGAGGCAGCCAGCCGUUGCCGAGGCAACCCGCCCCAACUGAGAUACACGCCCACUGCUGACGCAGCCUGCCGUUGCUGAGGCAACACGCUACAACGAAGAGACUCCGCCGCAGGGCGUGGCGGAGACCACAGCAGAGCCGGCAGGAACAGCGCGAAUCACACAACAGCAGGGCGGAGCCUCGGCAGCCAAACAGUGGCUAAUCUGCCUUUGAGCUGGGCAGGACACCUGAUCCGACAUCCAAAAAUAAAGCCCAAACCCCUCAACACAGAGCAUUUGUGAAAAAAAAAGGGUUGUUUAAUGAGCUGUGUUGCAGCAGAAUCAAACAUAGCAGCCUAACAGCCCUGAAUGAACAACAGAGUGCACAGCUCAGCAAUUAAACCCCUAUAAAGUACAAACUGUCUCCUCAAGCAGCUCCCUGACCCCUCUAUAUCCAAAAGACUGUCAUUAGGCAGGCAUCAUCCUGGGACAAAGAGAGCAGAAAAAGAAACUGGUAGCAUCC